UUACUUUUUCUGAUCCGGUUGUCAUAAUUUUGGGAAAGAUUGAUGAACCCAAGGUGUUUGGUGAUAUGCCUGGAACAACUUAAUAAUUCAAUAAGAUUUUUUGCAAUAUAUCCUGAACAAACGAAAUAUUGAAGAGUCUUGUCGCUCAUUCCUCUAAAUUAUUUUCCGUGCUUUUGGGGACUCCAGAUGUAGGGUUUUAUUUGAAACUUAACCAUUUUAGUUUCAAGGUUAUUGAAAUUUGAAGAGACACUUUUGGUUUUAUUGUUCUUUCAUAUUGUUUCGAGCUCAAUUUUGAUACUCUUACCAACAUUCCAAUAGACUUUAAUUAAUUGGACAUUCUAAUGCAAAUUAGAUGCUCUCUCAACUACUUUAAAGUGUUGUAGUAUGUUUAGUUAGUAUAUGCAGGGAAGUCCUACAAUACUAAUAAAUUCUGUCAUAGUGCGGAAUGUUGUAUUAGGAGGUCAUACUAUGAAAUUCUUGAAGAUGUUUUUCAAGAAAGACCAAUAUGAUGGUGAAUUGUAGACAGGGAGUGUUGCUUCUCACCUUCACAGCAGUGAUCGACACAUUGAGACCUCCAAAAUACUUUGAUGGUUCAAAACUUCAAAUGAAUGUAGAAAUGCAUCAACAUUCCAUCUUACAAUCUUAUAUGCAGCUUUAGCUCUAGCAUAUUUGGAAAACAGAGGAACACGUUUCACCAUCGGAUCAAUGAGCGAAUCAAUUCCAUAAGCCAAAUCAUCAAGCGAUUUUCUUCUAUUGGUAUACUUAUGUGCUCUACGCGUCCAAUGCCAUUGGUAGCAUAGUCCUUUUGUACAUUGAAGACAAUGUUAGUUGGGUACUUGGAUUCGCCAUUUGUGUCGCCUUCAACAUCCUUGGGUUGUCUAUUUUCUUGUCUGGACGCCGUUUCUAUCGCCAUAUUGAGGCACAACAAGAAAGCCCUUUCAUGAGUUUUGGCUCGAGUCGUUGUUGCUGCUAUUAGGAAGCAUAGAGAACCAUUGUCAUUAUUAGGUAAAGAUUUUUACCAUGGCAUGACAAAAAGGAACAGUGCAAUAAGUGUUGAUACCUUACAAAUCCUAGCAAAUUCUUCAGGUAUAACAACACUCUCCCUACACUACAUGAUGGUUCAAAGUAUAAAUAGCUAUUAGUAGCAGGAGAAAUGGGGAGGACAUUACAAGGUAGGAAUCGAACUAGAUGAAAGUCAACCAACUAAGCUACUAAGAUUACCUCUUUGUAUUUUCUUGAAUUCCCUUAUUAUAAUUUUUAAAUGCCCAUUGCUAAAUAGUCUGUAGCUAACAAGAUUUUUUGUUAAUUCGUCGUUAAAUAGGAUUAGUGGAUUAGAGUGGUCCGUCUAAUUGUUGUUGUUUUAGGUGAUUUAUAGUCCUGGAUCUUAAGAUGCGAAAUGGAAUCACUUCCAGACGAAUUCAAUGGUGAAUCAUUCCAGAUUGAAGCAGUCAGGGUGACAACUGAUCUACCAAGUUGGUUCGAAACUGAAGUUCUAUGCGAAAUGAUACUGCCUGCCAUAUAGUAGCUAUGUAAUUUUUCAUCAUCUUGCUCGACUUUGGUUAUAGCACAUUAUGAGUUUGGAGAGCCAGCAUAGAUAAUUGGAGAAAGUAGCUAUCAAGUUCUAAGUUA